UACGGAGGGAGCUAGCGUUGUUCGGAAAUACUGGGCGUAAAGCGCACGUAGGCAGCGCAGCAAGUCAGGGGUGAAAUCCCGGGGCUCAACCCCGGAACUGCCCUUGAAACUGCAGUGCUAGAAUCUUGGAGAGGUCAGUGGAAUUCCUAGUGUAGAGGUGAAAUUCGUAGAUAUUAGGAAGAACACCAGUGGCGAAGGCGGCUCACUGGUCCGGUACUGACGCUGAGGUGCGAAAGCGUGGGGAGCAAACAGG
rnacentral:rRNA from 1 species